AGUGAACGCUGGCGGUAGGCCUAACACAUGCAAGUCGAACGGCAGCACAGUAAGAGCUUGCUCUUACGGGUGGCGAGUGGCGGACGGGUGAGGAAUACAUCGGAAUCUACUUUCUCGUGGGGGAUAACGUAGGGAAACUUACGCUAAUACCGCAUACGACCUACGGGUGAAAGCAGGGGAUCUUCGGACCUUGCGCGAUUGAAUGAGCCGAUGUCGGAUUAGCUAGUUGGCGGGGUAAAGGCCCACCAAGGCGACGAUCCGUAGCUGGUCUGAGAGGAUGAUCAGCCACACUGGAACUGAGACACGGUCCAGACUCCUACGGGAGGCAGCAGUGGGGAAUAUUGGACAAUGGGCGCAAGCCUGAUCCAGCCAUACCGCGUGGGUGAAGAAGGCCUUCGGGUUGUAAAGCCCUUUUGUUGGGAAAGAAAAGCAGCAGGUUAAUACCCCGCUGUUCUGACGGUACCCAAAGAAUAAGCACCGGCCAACUUCGUG
rnacentral:rRNA from 1 species